rnacentral:lncRNA from 1 species
CUUUUUUUUUUGAGUUAAUUUCAUACAUACGGUUUUCUGCAAUUAUAGUGAAUUGCGUACAAAUAUAUUUCUAUAAAAUUCAACUUUUAUAUGUUGUCCCUGUAAAAACACUGAUGUUUUCAACUAUGUCCUUACUGUUAAGACCCGUUAGAAAAAAUUAGUUAACCAUAGAUAAAAUACUCAACCAUAGUUAGUUAAUAAGGUGAAUUGAUCUUUUUGCCCCUCUUCGAUUAAGAGUUGAGACUUUUGAUGGGGCAUAUUUGUGAUGACAAAAAGAUUAUUUCACUUAUAAAAUAAAUAGUAAUUUAAUGGUAACAAGCCAGAGGGACAUAUUUAAAAAUAUUAGGACUUUUGCAGGAACAAUGUAUGAAAGUUUAACUUUAUAGGAAUAUAUUUCCAAUUUACUAUUUAUUUUAUAAGUGAAAUAAUCUUUUUAAUGGUAACAAGCCAGAGGGACAUAUUUAAAAAUAUUAGGACUUUUGCAGGAACAAUGUAUGAAAGUUUAACUUUAUAGGAAUAUAUUUCCAAUUUACUAUAUUUGUAGGGAUCUGUAUGAAAUUAACCUCUCUUUAUUUUUUUGGCUCUUUGUUGCCUAAAUUUAGAAAAGCCAAAUUUACAUCUUAUGAUUUAACAAAUCACUUAAAGGGAUAAUGGGAGGUGGCAGAGCAUUGUAGUUUGCAUGUUUGAGGAUAUUUUCUCAAUGUGUGAUGUUGUAUUUGUGAUAUUGGGCGUUUUUUUGUGAUUUAAAGUUUUAUCAAAUAAUGGCUGGGAUAGCCAGCAGUGUCUCGAUUGUGGACGUUCGAGAUCGCUGGAACUCUCUAUCUCUUAUCCCGGAUGCCAUCGCAAGAGCUAAAGAAUUAACCAAGCUAGCGGCUACCUGGUGGGUUGUCUGGACCGAGCGAAACAGCUUUGUCUUCUCUUCGACUCUACCGAACGUUGUUAGAGCCUUGGAUAGAGGCUCAUCCCUGUCCAACUCCUGGAUCUCGCUCCUGUAAUCGUGCAACGUUGCCUUUUACUGUCUUCCCCCUCUCUCCCCCUGACUCCUCUUCUCGUCUUUGCUUUGUCUCUUUAUUUCCUUUUAUGUACCUCCCCUAUGUUCUUUCUAAAGGAAGCCUAAGCUGCUUCCACCUUGUACGCUUAGUUCAUUGCUCUUACUGAAUGAAGCAGGUAGCGUGCUACCUUUUUCUCAAAAAAAAAGUUUUAUCAAAUAAGGUAGUUUGUUUAUUGUCAUAUUUAGUAUCUUUUGUAAUUUGAAAUUUUAUUCAGUUUGAAAAUUUUCUAAAGCUUUGGGAAAGGUCAGAUUAAGCAGAUUGGCAUUAAAAUUGACUCAU